UAAAAUUCCAGUGUGACGCACCAAGCUUGUCACGUGAUACUCUGGGCAGUCACAUGACGGUUCACCGCUGUCUUGUCGCGCUUGGAGCUGGUGGACAGAGUAUAGGUAAGCGUUUCGCUUUUUUUCUUCACUUUAAACCCUUCCUCGUUGUUUUAAAACAUGUAUAAACUAUAAUAAAUGUUUUAACCAAUGGUUUAUAUUGACAUUUAUUUAUUUAUUUUCUCGGACUUUGAAUUUCACUCCCACGUGCAACUUUUCUGACAACGCAUUACAUGAUUGCUACUGUUCUCAGUAAUGCUUCAGUUCGUGGUACUCAAAACAUGGGCUAACGCAAAUGGGAGUGUUGCACAGCUCUCAUGUACUUUAUAUCAGUAAUGCUUCAGUGUGUGGUACUCCUCAAAACAUGGGGCAACACACAAGGGAGUGUUGCAUGGCACACACAUAAAUUUGGUGAGGCG